rnacentral:rRNA from 1 species
UUCCGUAGGGGAACCUGCGGAAGGAUCAUUACCGAGUUGACUCGAGCUCCGGCUCGACUCUCCCACCCUAUGUGUACCUACCUCUGUUGCUUUGGCGGGCCGCGGUCCUCCGCACCGGCUCCCUUUGGGGGCUGGCCAGCGUCCGCCAGAGGACCACAAAACUCCAGUCAGUAAACGUUGCAGUCUGAAAAACAAGUUAAUAAACUAAAACUUUCAACAACGGAUCUCUUGGUUCUGGCAUCGAUGAAGAACGCAGCGAAAUGCGAUAAGUAAUGUGAAUUGCAGAAUUCAGUGAAUCAUCGAAUCUUUGAACGCACAUUGCGCCCCUUGGUAUUCCGAGGGGCAUGCCUGUUCGAGCGUCAUUUCAACCCUCAAGCUUUGCUUGGUAUUGGGCCCCGUCCUCUGUGGACGCGCCUCAAAGACCUCGGCGGUGGCGUCUUGCCUCAAGCGUAGUAGAAAUCACCUCGCUUUGGAGCGCAUGGCGUCGCCCGCCGGACGAACCUUUGAAUUUUUCUCAAGGUUGACCUCGGAUCAGGUAGGGAUACCCGCUGAACUUAAGCAUAUCAAUAAGGCGGAGGAAGGAUCAUUACCGAGUUGACUCGAGCUCCGGCUCGACUCUCCCACCCUAUGUGUACCUACCUCUGUUGCUUUGGCGGGGCGCGGUCCUCCGCACCGGCUCCUUUGGGGGCUGGCCAGCG